CAUUUUCCUUGGCAAAUCUCCACGAACUUUCUGGAAGGGAGUAGGAAAAACAACCUAGAAGUAGCUCAAUAAAUCCCACCAGUUUUGUCAUUGAGAGGUGGGAUUGAGGGCAAGAGGGAACCAGGAUCCCAUCAGUUUUAUUCCACAGCCCUGUUAUCACAUGUACCAUCUGAUUUGUUUUGUUUUGCAAGCGUAUAGAUAUUAAGUUUAAAGGUGAUAUUCUUCUCUUCACCAGGCAUAUUGGCAGAGUCAGCUAUAUCCUGAUGUGCAUUGUUUGAUUAGGGUAGUGUCAGGAAUAAGGCUGCAGAUAGACACAGCAGCAUCUUCAUCUAGAGAAAAUUGCUGUCAGAUGGUGGUGUUAGUCUUGUUUCUGCUUCUGCUGCCCCACAUGGUGUGCAAAGUAGAUACCCUGAAAUGUCCAACAAAUGACCCCCUUCCUGUUCCCCAUGAAUGGUAUGAGCCUGGAGACCUCCUCAUUGGCGCCAUCUCUUCUCAGAUCAUCUUCUUUUUCCCUGAAGUGUCCUUCAAACAACAUCCUUCUAAUGAUUUGGGCUUCGAUCUUCCAAGGUAAGAUACCUUCCAUCCCAUAUCAGGUAAGACAGAUUAGAAAUUGUAAGAAAUAGAAUCCGCAGAAGACACCUAUAAGCAAUAUGUCAACAUCAGACAUCUCUAUUCAGUUAUUUACAUUUCUUAAAUUUCGUCCUUCAGUCCCAAAUGGGGCAUUGUGGUGUUGGAGGACAAAUUGUCAUUCAUUAUCCAUGUCAAUGUGAUCCAUCAUUUUAAUUUAUUUUAUCCCCUCUCCCCCACCCACAUUUCUUCCAUCUUCCCCAUAACCAACCCUCUUUUUCUAUAGUUCUCAAGCAUUGUUGAGUUUGUUCUGCAAAUCCCCCCCCCCCCAAUGGUGGCAAGAACUUGAUGGUCUUGCAUGGCUGAAUUAGAUUGCUUUACAGAAAGCCUGAACAGAAAUGUAUUGUGACAAAACAAUUUCUUUUGCUUUAGAAUUCUCCACUGAAAGAAAAUGUAACUCUCAUUGCAGUGUAGUGACAAAGUCUUACCAGCAUGCCUUGGCCUUGGCAUUUGCUGUAAACGAGGUCAACAAGAACCCAAAAAUCUUGCCCAAUGUCACACUUGGGUUCCACAUCUGUGACAGCUACUAUGAUGCAAGGAUGACCUACCGCACCACUCUGGACCAGCUCUUCAAUUCACAUAGAUUUAUCCCCAACUACAAAUGUGGCACUCAGAAAAAACUCAUGGCUGUCAUUGGGGGAAUGAGCUCUGAUAUUUCUUUCCACGUGGCAGACAUCUUAACUCUCUACAAGAUUCCACAGGUAACAUCUGUUCAUGGAGAAGAUAUGCUCUCCUCUUGUCAUCCUGUUACUGCCUUUGUGGUUCAGGAAGAGGCUGAAAACGACUUGCAGAAAAACAAAGCCUUAUUGGAUAUUGAAAAAGCAAGACCCAACUUUUCCAAGAGUAGGACCCCU